UACGGGGGGGGCAAGCGUUGUUCGGAAUUACUGGGCGUAAAGGGCUCGUAGGCGGCCAACUAAGUCGGAUGUGAAAUCCCCAAGCUUAACUUGGGAACUGCAUCCGAUACUGGAUGGCUUGAAUCCGGGAGAGGGAUGCAGAAUUCCAGGUGUAGCGGUGAAAUGCGCAGAGAUGUGGAGGAACACCGAUGGCGAAGGCAGCCUCCUGGGCCAACACUGACGCUCAUGCACGAAAGCGUGGGGAGCAAACAGG
rnacentral:rRNA from 1 species